rnacentral:tmRNA from 1 species
GGGGACGAAAGGAUUUCGACGGGGAUCCGGAAGUAUGAGAAGCGGGUAGUGGCGCGGAACCACUUAAAAAGCCGCAACCUUAAAUUGAACUGACAAUACUACAGUUUUAAAGGCUGCGUAACGCAGCCCGUCUGUGCGCUGAGGACUGCGGCAGCGUAACAGGCGUCGACAAGCAGUGAACGUGAACAGCGGAGCGACUCGGCCGCCGUCAUGCAUCAGAGCCUACUGAACCGUUGAGCCUGUCAACCGGCGCAGCGGGAAGGAAAUUUCAAACGAUUGACUGCACCCGGAGAAACUUGUAUGGAUGGGUUUUCGGACGCGGUUUCGAUUACCGCCGUCUCCACCA